UACGGAGGGUGCAAGCGUUAUCCGGAUUCACUGGGUUUAAAGGGUGCGUAGGAGGGCAGGUAAGUCAGUGGUGAAAUCUCCGAGCUUAACUUGGAAACUGCCAUUGAUACUAUCUGUCUUGAAUAUUGUGGAGGUGAGCGGAAUAUGUCAUGUAGCGGUGAAAUGCUUAGAUAUGACAUAGAACACCAAUUGCGAAGGCAGCUUUCUACAGGAAUAUUGACACUGAGGCACGAAAGCGUGGGGAUCAAACAGG
rnacentral:rRNA from 1 species